UACGUAGGGGGCAAGCGUUGUCCGGAAUCAUUGGGCGUAAAGCGCGUGUAGGCGGCUCGGUAAGUCCGCUCUGAAAGUCCAGGGCUCAACCCUGGGAUGCGGGUGGAUACUGCCGGGCUCGAGUCCGGAAGAGGCGAGUGGAAUUCCCGGUGUAGCGGUGAAAUGCGCAGAUAUCGGGAGGAACACCAAUGGCGAAGGCAGCUCGCUGGGACGUGACUGACGCUGAGACGCGAAAGCGUGGGGAGCAAACGGG
rnacentral:rRNA from 1 species